AUUGAACGCUGGCGGCAGGCCUAACACAUGCAAGUCGAACGAGUGGCGGACGGGUGAGUAAUGUGUGGGAAACUGCCCGAUGGAGGGGGGUAACUACUGGAAACGGUAGCUAAAACAGCAUACCAUCGGAUGUGCGCAGAUGGGAUUAGCUAGUAGGUGGGGUAACGGCUCACCCCGGCGACGAUCCCUAGCUGGUCUGAGAGGAUGACCAGCCACACUGGAACUGAGACACGGUCCAGACUCCUACGGGAGGCAGCAGUGGGGAAUAUUGCGCAAUGGGCGCAAGCCUGAUGCAGCCAUGCCGCGUGUAUGAAGAAGGCCUUCGGGUUGUAAAGUACUUUCAGCGAGGAGGCGUUACUCGCAGAAGAAGCACCGGCUAACUCCGUGCCAGCAGCCGCGGUAAUUC
rnacentral:rRNA from 1 species